CCCUCAGACUGACCAUCAGAUGCUCCCUCCCCUCAGACUGACCAUCAGAUGCUCCCUCCCCUCAGACUGACCAUCAGAUGCUCCCUCCCCUCAGACUGACCAUCAGAUGCUCCCUCCCCUCAGACUGACCAUCAGAUGCUCCCUCCCCUCAGACUGACCAUCAGAUGCUCCCUCCCCUCAGACUGACCAUCAGAUGCUCCCUCCCCUCAGACUGACCAUCAGAUGCUCCCUCCCCUCAGACUGACCAUCAGAUGCUCCCUCCCCUCAGACUGACCAUCAGAUGCUCCCUCCCCUCAGACUGACCAUCAGAUGCUCCCUCCCCUCAGACUGACCAUCAGAUGCUCCCUCCCCUCAGACUGACCAUCAGAUGCUCCCUCCCCUCAGACUGACCAUCAGAUGCUCCCUCCCCUCAGACUGACCAUCAGAUGCAGGCCAUCAGUACAGUACAAAAAAUAAGCAAAUUAUUGUGUUCACUCAGCUGUGCCUCACAAGCAAUAGAACAAAUGAUCUAUUACCAGUGUGAUCAUAUACCUACAAUUUUUGAAAUGGUCUGAGAAGAACAACAUUGGCAGGCCAAUUCAAGCACAGCCAAUAUGCAGUGAUGAUAUAUAGGGCCUAUAGUCUACUGUACAAACCUCAUUGCUACAGAACUGUGUUGAAUUAGUUAAUGUUGCAAAGGCUUAUGUUUAAGUCAUGUUUUUUAAAUCUGAGCCGUAGAUGUCUGCUUGCAUUUUGACUCCGUGAUCUUGACUCAGAAAAGGUUGUUGACCGCUGGUUUUGAUUAAAAUGUUCAACUAUUUCCUCACAUUAUAAAUGCAACAAUGUGCACAAGGCAGUAGGCGAUGCGUGAAUGUUUGUUCCAUAAUGACAUUAGCGGGAGAACACCAUUGUCAAAAGGGCACUGCACAUGCGAGCGGUUUCAUGUGACAGAGAUGAAAAUAUCUGUUAGAAAUUUUGAAAGAGGGGACAUCUGAUAUGCAACAACUAGCAUGGGUUGCUGGUAUGACUCGGCUUGUGCCUUUGUUUAGUGGACGAGAAAGAACGUUGAUAUAAAAUAAUUGCCUCCACAGGCUAGGCUACUUUGACGCAAAGUAAGACAUGCCUAAUAAUGUGUAGUAAAACCAGGGGUUGGAACUGGUUUGGGGAACAGACUUCGAAAACGAAGAACAGAACCAGAACCGAGAACGAAAGUGAUCUAUACUGUACCGGAACAGAACUGUUAUUUUAAAAGCAUGGGAACCGGUUAAUAAUAUUAUUUUCUUUCUGGGAUUUUUUUUCCAGUCCCACCAAAAACGAAACAAAGUGCCUAUGCAUAGCCCCCACUCUGUCACUCAGAAACUUAACCCAGUGUCUGCCUGCCUGCCAGCUGAAAAUUGUGUGUGUGUGUGUGUGUGUAGGCUAACUGCCCCUCCCUCUGAAGCAUAGUCUACUGUAGCUACUGACGUUACACGCUUGAUUAAAAUAUUUUUUAUUAGAGAAGAAUGGAUGAACCUUUUCAUUGCUAGUUAAGGAUACUAUAGUACUAUAUACAUGUUUUUAUUUGAAUUCUGGUGCUGCUCUGCACACACAAGCUUGUUAGCUAGCUAGUGUGUGACUAGGUGAUGAAGCCUUCCGUUGCCUGUUCAUAGUGUUGUGUGACGCGGUGAUGAAGCCUUCCGUUGCCUGUUCAUAGUGUUGUGUGACGCUGUGAUGAAGCCUUCCGUUGCCUGUUCAUAGUGUUGUGUGACGCGGUGAUGAAGCCUUCCGUUGCCUGUUCAUAGUGUUGUGUGACGAGGUGAUGAAGCCUUCCGUUGCCUGUUCAUAGUGUUGUGUGACGCUGUGAUGAAGCCUUCCGUUGCCUGUUCAUAGUGUUGUGUGACGCUGUGAUGAAGCCUUCCGUUGCCUGUUCAUAGUGUUGUGUGACGCUGUGAUGAAGCCUUCCGUUGCCUGUUCAUAGUGUUGUGUGACGGUGAUGAAGCCUUCCGUUGCCUGUUCAUAGUGUUGUGUGACGCUGUGAUGAAGCCUUCCGUUGCCUGUUCAUAGUGUUGUGUGACGCGGUGAUGAAGCCUUCCGUUGCCUGUUCAUAGUGUUGUGUGACGCGGUGAUGAAGCCUUCCGUUGCCUGUUCAUUUGCUGUUUGAGGAGCUGUAGCAGCAUCUCUCCUGCUGUCUGACAGAUUUACCUCUCAGAGACUCUGCAUCUGUAGGCUGUACGCCUGAUAAAUAUAAUGCAUUACGAAUAUACUGUACACACGUGCCAAUUUAAUUCCACUGAAUUAUGCAAAUUAACCUAUAGACUGAUAAGCAUGACCAGUCAAAUGUAUUUAGAUCAGCUGGUAUUUCCAUCAAUCCCAGUAAAAAAAUCCCUGUUUUAGGUAGGAUCACCACUUUAUGUUAAGAAUGUGAAAUGUCAGAAUAAUAGCAGAGAAAAUCAUUUAUUGCAGCUUUUAUUUCUUUCAUCACAUUCUCAGUGGGUCAGAAGUUUACAUACACUCAAUUAGUAUUUGGUAGCAUUCCCUUUAAAUGGUUUAACUUGGGUCAAACGUUUCGGGUAGCUUUCCACAAGCUUCCCUCAGUAAGUUGGGUGAAUUUUGGCCCAUUCCUCCUGACAGAGCUGGUGUAACUGAGUCAGGUUUUUAGGCCUCCUUGCUCACACACACUUUCAAUUCUGCCCACAAAUGUUCUAUAGGAUUGAGGCCAGAGCUUUGUGAUGGCCACUUCAAUACCUUCGUUGUCCUUAAGGCAUUUUGCUUCGGAAAUAUGGUUGGGGUAAUUGUCCAUUUGGAAGACCCAUUUGUGACUGAUGUCUUGAGAUGUUGCUUCAAUAUAUCCACUCAUGAUGCCAUCCAUUUUGUGAAGGACACCAGUCCCUCCUGCAGCAAAGCACCCCCACAACAUGAUGCUGCCACCCCCGUGCUUCACGGUUGGGAUGGUGUUCUUCGGCUUGCAAGACUCCCCCUUUUUCCUCCAAACAUAGCAAUGGUCAUUAUGGCCAAACAGAUCUAUUUCUGUUUCAUCAGACCAGAGGACAUUUCUCCAAAAAGUACGAUCUUUGUCCCCAUGUGCAGUUGCAAACCGUAGUCUGGCUUUUUUUAUGGCAGUUUUGGUGCAGUGGCUUCUUCCUUGCUGAGCGGCUUUUCAGGUUAUGUCGAUAUAAGACUCGUUUUACUGUGGAUAUAGAUACUUUUGUACCCGUUUCCUCCAGCAUCUUCACAAGGUCCUUUGCUGUUUUUCUGGGAUUGAUUUGCACUUUUCGCACCAAAGUAUGUUCAUCUCUAGGAGACAGAACGAGUCUCCUUCCUGGGUGGAAUGACGGCUGCAUGGUCCCAUGGUGUUUAUACUUGCGUACUAUUGUUUGUACAGAUGAACGUGGUACCUUCUGCCGUUUGGAAAUUGCUCCCAAGGAUGAACCAGACUUGUGGAGGUCUACCAUUUUUUUCUGAGGUCUUGGCUGAUUUCUUUUGAUUUUCCCAUAAUGUCAAGCAAAGAGGCACUGAGUUUGAAGGAUUGGCCUUGAAAUAUAUCCACAGGUACAACUCCAAUUGACUCAAAUUAUGUUAAUUAGCCUAUCAGAAGCUUUUAAGCCAUGACAUCAUUUUCUGUAAUUUUCCAAGCUGUUUAAAGGCUCAGUCAUUUAGUGUAUGUAAACUUCUGACCCACUGGAAUUGUGAUACCGUGAACUAUAAGUGAAAUAAUCUGUCUGUAAACAAUUGUUGGACAAAUUCCUUGUCAUGCACAAAGUAAAUGUCCUAACCGAAUUACCAAAACGGUAGUUUGUUAACAAAAAAUGUGUUGAGUGGUUGAAAACGAGUUUUAAUGACUCCAACCUAUGUGUAUGUAAACUUCCGACAUCAACUGUAUGUAGGGAAUAGGGUGCCAUUUAGGUUGCAUUCAUAAUGUUGUGGUGUUAUGUUGCUGUAAUGAAUGUGUUUUUCCUC